rnacentral:tRNA from 1 species
CCGGGUGUAGCUCAGUUGGUAGAGCGCGCGGUUUGGGACCGCGAGGCCGCUGGAUCGUGCCCAGUCACUCGGACCA